rnacentral:rRNA from 2 species
AGGUGCGAUCAUACCAGCACUAAUGCACCGGAUUCCAUCAGAACGCCGCAAUUAAGCGUGCUUGGGCGAGAGUAGUACAAGGAUGGGUGACCUCCUGGGAAGUCCUCGUGUUGCACCUC